GGAGUAGUUCGAGUUUGAUCCUGGCUCAGGACGAACGCUGGCGGCGUGCCUAACACAUGCAAGUCGAACGGGGUUAAGAGAGCUUGCUCUUUUAACUUAGUGGCGAACGGGUGAGUAACGCGUGAGAAACCUGCCUCUCAGUGGGGGACAACAGUUGGAAACGACUGCUAAUACCGCAUAAUGUAUUCGGAAGGCAUCUUCUGAAUACCAAAGCUUUAUGUGCUGAGAGAUGGUCUCGCGUCUGAUUAGCUUGUUGGCGGGGUAACGGCCCACCAAGGCGACGAUCAGUAGCCGGUCUGAGAGGAUGAACGGCCACAUUGGGACUGAGAUACGGCCCAG
rnacentral:rRNA from 1 species